rnacentral:rRNA from 1 species
UGGGGAAUUUUCCGCAAUGGGCGAAAGCCUGACGGAGCAAGACCGCGUGGGGGAAGAAGGCUCUUGGGUUGUAAACCCCUUUUCUCUGGGAAGAAAGUUGUGAAAGCAACCUGACGGUACCAGAGGAAUCAGCAUCGGCUAACUCCGUGCCAGCAGCCGCGGUAAGACGGAGGAUGCAAGCGUUAUCCGGAAUGAUUGGGCGUAAAGCGUCCGCAGGUGGCAGUUCAAGUCUGCUGUCAAAGACCGGGGCUUAACUUCGGAAAGGCAGUGGAAACUGAACAGCUAGAGUAUGGUAGGGGCAGAGGGAAUUCCUGGUGUAGCGGUGAAAUGCGUAGAGAUCAGGAAGAACAUCGGUGGCGAAGGCGCUCUGCUGGACCAUAACUGACACUCAGGGACGAAAGCUAGGGGAGCGAAUGGGAUUAGAUACCCCAGUAGUCCUAGCCGUAAACGAUGGAUACUAGGUGUUGUCUGUAUCGACCC